rnacentral:rRNA from 1 species
GAUGAACGCUGACCGAAUGCUUAACACAUCAGCCAUUGAUUGGUGGCGGACGGGUGAGUAACGCGUAAAGAACUUGCCUCACAGCUAGGGACAACAUUUAGAAAUGAAUGCUAAUACCUGAUACUGUGAGAGAGCUUUGCGUCCCAUUAGCUAGUUGGAGAGGUAACAGCUCACCAAGGCGAUGAUGGGUAGCCGGCCUGAGAGGGUGAACGGCCACAAGGGAACUAAGAGACGGCCCUUAAUACUACGGGGGGCAGCAGUGAGAAAUAUUGGACAAUGGACCGAAGUCUAAUCCAACAAUUCUGUGUGCACGAUGAAGUUUUCGGAAUGUAAAGUGCUUUGAGGUGGGAAGCGGUACCAACAGAAGAAGUGACGACUAAAUACGUGCCAGCAGCCGCGGUAAUUC